rnacentral:rRNA from 1 species
GGUUCAGGUUAUGGCUCAGAUUUGAACAUGGCGGGAUGCUUUACAUGCAAGUCGAACGGCAGCACGGACUUCGGUCUGGUGGCGAGUGGCGAACAGGUGAGUAAUGUAUCGGAACGUGCCUAGUAACGAGGAUAACUACGCGAAAGCGUAGCUAAUACAUCGCCCUUCGAGGAAAAGCGGGGAGAAUAUUCGGGCCUCGCACUAUUAGAGCGGCCGAUAUCGGAUUGGCUAGUUGGUGGGGUAACAGCUCACCAAGGCGACGAUCCGUGGCUGGUUUGAGAGGACGACCAGCCACACCCCAGGACUGAGACACGGCGGCCCAGACUCCUACGGGAGGCAGCGGUGGGAAUUUUGGACGGUAAACCCUGAUCCCAACCAUCCCGCGUGUGCGAUGAAGACUAUUCGGUUGUAAAGCACUUUGGCGGAAAACGGCCUGGGAUAAUACCCGUGCAGCGGCGGUACACCUGCAGAAUAAGCACCGGCUAACUACGUGCCCGGCAGCCGCGCGGUAAUACGUAGGGGUGCAAGCGUUAAUCGGAAUUACUGGGCGUAAAGCGUGCGCAGGCGGUUCGGAAGGGCGAUGUGAAAUCCCAGGCUUAACUUUGGAACUCGCAUUUUUAACUACCGAGCUAAGAGUGUGUCAGAGGAGGUGGAAUUCCCGCGUGUAGCAGUGAAGUAUGAAUAUGCGGAGGAACACCGAUAGCGAAAGGCCUCCGCAGGAUAACGCGGCAGCACUCAUGCACGAAAGCGUGGGGAGCAAACAGGAUUGAAUACCUGGUGAUCCGCCUAAACGAUGUCAACUAGCUGUCUGGGACUGCUUCAGGCCUUGGUAGCGCAGCUAACGCGUGAAGUUGACUACGCCUGGGGAAGUACAGUCGCAAGAUUAAAACUCAAAGAUUGACGGGGACAUGCCUGAAGCGUGGAUGAUAUGGAUUAAUUCGAUGCAACGCGCGAAAAACCCUUACCUACCCUUGACAUGUCUGGAAUCCCGAGAUUUGGGAGUGCUCGCAAGAGAACCGGAACACAGGUGCUGCAUGGCUGUCGUCAGCUCGUGUCGUGAGAUGUUGGGGUUAAGUCUGUGACGCAGCCCUUGUCAUUAGUUGCUACGAGAGGCACUCUAAUGAGACUGCCGGUGACAAACCGGAGGAAGGUGGGGACGUCAAGUCCUCACUGGCCCUUAUGGGUAGGGCUUCACACGUCAUACAAUGGUCGGGACAGAGGGUCGCCAACCCCGCGAGGGGCUGAAAUCCCGAACCCGAUCGUAGUCCGGAUGCGGUCUGCAACUCGACUGCGUGAAGUCGGAAUCCUUCAGUAAUCGCGGAUCAGCAUGUCGCGGUGAAUACGUUCCCGGUCUUAGCACGCACCG